GAUGAACGCUGGCGGCGUGCUUAACACAUGCAAGUCGAACGGAAAGGCUCCUGCUUGCAGGGGUACUCGAGUGGCGAACGGGUGAGUAACACGUGGGUGAUCUGCCCUGCACUUCGGGAUAAGCCUGGGAAACUGGGUCUAAUACCGGAUAGGACCACAUUUUGGAUGGUGUGGUGGAAAGUUUUUCGGUGUGGGAUGAGCUCGCGGCCUAUCAGCUUGUUGGUGGGGUAAUGGCCUACCAAGGCGUCGACGGGUAGCCGGCCUGAGAGGGUGUACGGCCACAUUGGGACUGAGAUACGGCCCAGACUCCUACGGGAGGCAGCAGUGGGGAAUAUUGCACAAUGGGCGCAAGCCUGAUGCAGCGACGCCGCGUGGGGGAUGACGGCCUUCGGGUUGUAACCUCCUUUCGCUAGGGACGAAGCGUUUUUGUGACGGUACCUGGAGAAGAAGCACCGGCUAACUACGUG
rnacentral:rRNA from 1 species